rnacentral:rRNA from 1 species
UAAUCCGCAUAAGCGCACAGGACCGCAUGGUCCGGUGUGAAAAACUCCGGUGGUAUGAGAUGGACCCGCGUCUGAUUAGCUGGUUGGCGGGGUAACGGCCCACCAAGGCGACGAUCAGUAGCCGACCUGAGAGGGUGGCCGGCCACAUUGGGACUGAGACACGGCCCAAACUCCUACGGGAGGCAGCAG